AUCGUUGCUGCGCUGCGACAGGAUGCGCAGCACUGUGAGCCCCGUGUCGUCCAUGUGGAUGCGGCGGCCGAGUGGAAGCCAGCACGCGGCGCUCCCGCGCUGGGCCAGCUCUCGCAGUUGCAGCACCGCCAGCCCCACCGUGCGGUCUUCGCGCGCAAAGCAGUAGUCCUUCACGCACACCUGCAGCUCGUAGCACUCGGGGCCCGCGUCGGCGCUCAGGGAGCUGUGGGCAAGGACCGGCUCAGCGAGAGGCCACCGUGAGCCCAGUCACCCGCCGUCACGCAGGGGAGCUACCAGCGAGCGGUUCACACCACACCGCCACAUACGUCAGAAAGAGACUCCAGCAAGCCUCUCUGACAGGAGACGGGGGAAGAGGGACUAAGGCUUGGGGUCCUGUUGGAAUUCCCGGAUGCAGCCAAGCCUGACAAGGAUUUAGCUCAGGAUUUUUCCAUUUUCUAAACCACCAAAGAAAUCAAUUCCCUGCCCUUGACCUUC